rnacentral:rRNA from 1 species
GGAAUUGUUCGCAAUGGGCGCAAGCCUGACGCAGUAACGCCGCGUGGAGGAUGAAGGCCUUUGGGUUGUAAACUCCUGACUGGGGGAAAGAUCAUGACGGUACCCCCAAAGAAAGCCCCGGCUAAUUCCGUGCCAGCAGCCGCGGUAAUACGGAAGGGGCAAGCGUUGUUCGGAAUCAUUGGGCGUAAAGGGCGUGUAGGCGGUUUCAUAUGUCCGCUGUGAAAUAACACGGCUCAACUGUGUCUAGCGGCGGAAACUGUGAGACUUGAGGCUGGGAGGGGCUGGUGGAAUUCCCUGUGUAGCGGUGAAAUGCGUAGAGGUGGGGGAGAACACUCGUGGCGAAGGCGGCCAGCUGGACCAGUUCUGACGCUGAGACGCGAAAGCGUGGGGAGCAAAC